rnacentral:rRNA from 1 species
CGGUGUUUAACUGGCGUGAUGUGGGACGUCCUACCGGUGGGCUUAGCCUCGCGAGGGGCGGCCCAACUAAUAUCCCGUCGCGGUGCUCUUUACUGAGUGUCGAGUCGGGCCGGUACGUUUACUUUGAACAAAUUAGAGUGCUUAAAGCAGGCUAUCCUCGCCUGAAUACUGCGUGCAUGGAAUAAUGGAAUAGGACCUCGGUUCUAUUUUGUUGGUUUUCGGAACCCCGAGGUAAUGAUUAAUAGGGACAGAUGGGGGCAUUCGUAUUGCGACGUUAGAGGUGAAAUUCUUGGAUCGUCGCAAGACGGACAGAAGCGAAAGCAUUUGCCAAAAAUGUUUUCAUUAAUCAAGAACGAAAGUUAGAGGUUCGAAGGCGGUCAGAUACCGCCCUAGUUCUAACCAUAAACGAUGCCCAGCUAGCGAUCCGCCGAAGUUCCUCCGAUGACUCGGCGGGCAGCUUCCGGGAAACCAAAGCUUUUGGGUUCCGGGGGAAGUAUGGUUGCAAAGCUGAAACUUAAAGGAAUUGACGGAAGGGCACCACCAGGAGUGGAGCCUGCGGCUUAAUUUGACUCAACACGGGAAACCUCACCAGGCCCAGACACCGGAAGGAUUGACAGAUUGAUAGCUCUUUCUUGAUUCGGUGGGUGGUGGUGCAUGGCCGUUCUUAGUUGGUGGAGCGAUUUGUCUGGUUAAUUCCGAUAACGAACGAGACUCUAGCCUGCUAAAUAGGCGUACCUUAUGGUAUCGCGAAGGCCCCCGGCUUCGGCCGGUGGGUUUUUACUACCAACGUACAAACAAAUCUUCUUAGAGGGACAGGCGG